CCGGCGAGGGGAGUGAAAAAGAACCUGAAACCGUGUACGUACAAGCAGUGGGAGCCCCACCACUAAGCCAGUGGUGAACUCCACAUACGCAUCCUUUGCUGAGGAUACGGUUAACGGAGCGCAAGCGACGUUCAACCGCAAAAGAAGCAGAGGGGGCUUAGUGGUGGGGUGACUGCGUACCUUUUGUAUAAUGGGUCAGCGACUUAUAUUCUGUAGCAAGGUU
rnacentral:rRNA from 1 species